rnacentral:tRNA from 1 species
GUUUUAAUAGUUUAAUAAAAACAUUGGUCUUGUAAAUCAAAAAUAAGGAUUAACCUUUUAAAACU